UGGGCUGGUCAGACGUGACAGGAAUAAACUCACUCAGGAAGUGGCGGUAGUGUACAGUGAGUACAAACGAUCGCGGAGUAAACCUAUAUGUGACUGACUAAAAUGUGCGCUUUCUAUCAUAGCUUCAUAAACUGACAGCAUUGUCACGGAGUCUGGUGAUUAACUGAGAACUAGCGCGUAGCUAAUGGAUCCAGGUAGUUAAACGAAGGCACAAGCACAGGGAGUUAGUAAGUGAUUGAGUUACCUCAGUCUGCCAAGCACCCAGCACAGGGACCAGACUAACUGGCUUGAGUUUGAUCUUCCAACGCUAGCCGUUUUUAAUUAAGUGGAAAUUAUUCGUGGGGCAGCACGGAACCGGCAUUACAGAUGUCAAGGUGCUGAAAGGGAUGACUGUCUGCAGUAGUCUUUAGGGGGUCAAGGGUGAAAGUGGAGGGGUCAGGGGCCAUGAACUCUGUGUCCCCCAGCUCGGCCCAGUAUGUCGGGGGAGGCGAGAGCUCGGAGAUGAAGGGGGGCCACUUUGGGCACGUUACCGAUGGCAACCGGAACGAGGGGGAACCAGACGAGGUGGACCGACUGAAGACAAAACUGAUGUCGGCCUGGAACAGCGUGAAAUACGGCUGGUCAGUGAAGUCCAAAACCUCCUUCAACAGGACCUCUCCCCUAUAUCUGCUGGGGCAUUCCUAUCUGUUCAACCAUGAAGAUGAGGUGGAGAGGUUUUCCCUGGCCUUUGUGUCCCGCCUCUGGUUGACCUACAGGAAGGACUUUGCUCCCCUGGAGGGGGCGGGGCUAACCUCUGACUGUGGGUGGGGCUGUAUGCUGCGCAGCGGACAGAUGCUCCUCGCCCAGGGACUACUGACACACCUGCUGCCAUCAGACUGGCAGUGGCCUGCUUCUCCGCCCCUGACAGACGUGGACUUUGAGCUCUUCCGGCCGCGUUCCCCCUCCAAGACCCUAGGAGGCGUCAGCAUCCCCUCCCUCUCCUCCUUCCCCCCGCAGUGGAGCUCCAGCGCCCCCCCCGCGCCCCCCGAACACCCCCCCAGGCCGGCGGGGGACCCCCAGAGCCAGGCCCUGCACCGGAGACUGGUGGCCUGGUUUGGGGAUCACCCGGCUGCACCGUUCAGCCUCCACCAGCUGGUGGCGCUAGGGAGGAGUGCCGGGCGGAGGGCGGGGGAUUGGUACGGCCCGUCUGUGGUGGCACAUAUACUCAGGAAAGCUGUGUCGUCUACUGCUGAGGUGCAGAAUCUGGCAGUGUAUGUGGCUCAGGACUGCACAGUGUAUAAAGAAGAUGUGGUGCGUGUGUGUGAGGACGCCCCAAGCUGGAAGUCCGUCAUCAUCCUGGUCCCGGUCCGACUGGGUGGAGAAACACUCAACCCCACCUACAUCCAGUGUGUCAAAAACAUUCUGAAGUUGGAAUGCUGUAUCGGAAUCAUCGGUGGAAAGCCGAAACACUCCUUGUUCUUCAUUGGCAUCCAAGAUGAGCAGCUGCUGUACUUGGACCCGCACUACUGUCAGCCCGUGGUGGACGUCACCCAGAGCAACUUCUCCCUGGAGUCGUUCCACUGUACCUCUCCCAGGAAGAUGAGUGUGAGUCGAAUGGACCCCAGCUGCACCAUCGGCUUCUACGCCCGCAGCAAGAAGGACUUCGAGUCGCUGUGCUCUGCCGUGGAAGUGGCUCUCUCCUCCUCUAAGGAGAAGUACCCCAUCUUCACCUUCGUGGACAGGGGGAGUCAGGACUUUGGAUUGGAUGACAUUCACGAUGUUCCGCCCCCUCACAUCCUGCCACCCAAUCAGAUGGCCGGGAGUAAAAAGCGUGGUAGCGCUGACGAAUUUGUCCUGCUGUGACGACGGCGUCUCUUGAGGGACACACUGAACUGAAAUGGCAGAUGCAGCUGCCUCAUGGAGAACUUGCUGUACUAAGGCAGAGUUGUGUGUGUGUGUGUGUGUGUGUGUGUGUGUGUGUGUGUGUGUGUGUGUGUGUGUGUGUGUGUGUGUCUGUCUGCGGCAGCGUCGUAAAUUACCUGUGACGAGUUUCCCUAAUCUGUGUCUGUGAUA